rnacentral:lncRNA from 1 species
AUGGCAGUUCUGCAUUUCAUCAAGGAGCUGCUCGGCACCGACGCUCAGCGCUGUUCAGCGUGGGAUGUGGUGGGGCACAUCUCCAGCGAGUUCAGUCAGGUGGCGGGAGGCUUUUUUGCUUUUGAAACUGAGGAGGAAGGAGCUCUUCGAGCCCUGUGCAUGGGCAUCCUGGGCUCACUGGAUGUCUCCGUGAGAGGGAUGACCAAACUCCUGUGGCCGAGGCUGCUGCAGUACGUGGUGCCCGCCCAGUACAGGGGCAUGCUUAUUCCCCUCUCCCGCUGCCUCCGGAGUCUGGCUGAGAGACGGGAGAGAGCAGGACAGCAUGAAGAGGAGGACUCUGAUGUCACCAGCUCCGAGGAACAAGCCCAGCUGCCAGCUCCACAGGCCCUGCUGUCUCGACUGCUGGUGAGUAGCAAUGCCCUGGGGAAGGUGCCCUGGGCAAAGCCAUUGGCUGCCUGUUGCUGGCAGGAGGGGCUCCACACUUCCUUCCUGCUGGGAGAAGUUGCCAAUUUGGCAGCAGGAGCAACUCUUCUCUCCCUCUUGCCCUUGCCUAGGUGA